AACCCAUUACCUGUAAGUCUUUAAAACUGCUUAUCUGCAUCUUGCCCAUUGGGACUAAUCCUUGUAGAGGACAAGCCAGUAAAACUUGCUAGCAACAGUGGUUUCCUGACUCAUUUCUUCAGGGACUUUCUUUUCAAGAUAUUUUUCUUAAACAGGACAAGUGGUUUCAGAGAGUGGGCAAAAAAGGCUGUACCUUACCUUGUUGAUCAUGGAGAAAUUUGUACCUUAGAAAGACUUCAUGGGCGUGGAACCUAUACUCAGAUUUGGAAAGAAUAUUCCCUAAGAAAGAAGAGAGAAGAGGAUCCAGGACAUUUAUUCUUUUCCUUUAAAAAUUGCUGAAAAAUGACUAAAUAAAUUAUUUCUGAUUCUCAAAAUAAA